rnacentral:antisense_RNA from 1 species
CUUGAUGGAGCCGAGCCACACCGGGUCCUCGGCGGUCCGCCCCUGGCCGUAGGUGGCGAGGAGUGCCUGCGCCUC